rnacentral:rRNA from 1 species
CGUAGAAGACUAGUGUUAUUCGUAUUUAAUAGGUUUAAAGGGUACCUAGACGGCUUUUAUUAGCCCCAAUAGGGUACAAUUAAGCUAGAGUUAUAUAAGAGGAGGGGAGUACUCGUGGUGUUGAGAGAUUAAAUUUGGUCAUACCUAGGGGACUGGUAGAGGCGAAGGCAACCUCCUAUCUAUUAACUGACGUUGAGGGACGAAGGCUUGGGUAACAAACAGGAUU